rnacentral:lncRNA from 1 species
UCAUGAAUGCUGUCUAAAUUUGAAGCCCACACUCCUCUCUUUUCUCUUCCUUUUUUGAAUUUAUAAUAAAGCUCAUAUUUUUUAAUAAUUUUUCUUUGAUAAUCCAUUUUUCUUCUUUUUUCUCUGAUUCUCCACCUUUAAAUAUGCUCUCAAUGACUGAAGAUAAAGAUUAGACUGUUGGAGAGAUUGAACUAGCCAUUGGAGCAAAAAUCAAUCCAUUAGAGAAGUACAGAAAACUAGCCGUUAGAGCCUGUUCCAAGCUUGGGGUCAACUCUUUUUCCAUGGGG